AUGCAUAAGGGUAGGUUUGAAACUACUCAAGAAAGAGUAAAGAAGAGACUAGUUGAUUGGAGUGAGCAAUUUAUGUCCUCUGGUAACAAGGAAAUAUUAAUUAAAUCGGUGGCACAUGCAAUACCGACUUACGUUAUGAGUGUUUUCCGCUUACCUGCAUCGGUUUGUGAUGAUCUUACCAAAUUGAUGAGACAGAAUUGGUGGGGAGUUGAAAGAGGUAAAAGGAAGAUGGCUUGGCUGAGUUGGGACAAACUAAGGCUGCCUAAGAGUAAGGAUGGCAUGGGCUUCAGAGACAUGCGUGCGUUUAACCAGGCCUUGAUUGCAAAGCAAGCUUGGAGAUUAUUAGAGUUCCUUGAUAGUCUUUGUGCUCGACUAUUAAAAGCUGGAUACUAUCCUCAUGGCAGUCUGUUGGAUACAGUUUUUACUGGAAAUUCGUCUGCGGUUUGGAAAGGUAUUAUGCAUAGACUAGAGCUGGUGAAGAGGGGAAUUAUAUGGAGAAUUGGGGAUGGUAAUUCGGUGAGAACAUGGAGAGAUCCAUGA
rnacentral:rRNA from 1 species